rnacentral:rRNA from 1 species
CCUACGGGAGGCUGCAGUGAGGAAUAUUGGUCAAUGGACGAGAGUCUGAACCAGCCAAGUAGCGUGAAGGAUGACUGCCCUAUGGGUUGUAAACUUCUUUUAUAUGGGAAUAAAGUGUUCCACGUGUGGGAUUUUGUAUGUACUUUAUGAAUAAGGAUCGGCUAACUCCGUGCCAGCAGCCGCGGUAAUACGGAGGAUCCGAGCGUUAUCCGGAUUUAUUGGGUUUAAAGGGAGCGUAGGUGGGUUGUUAAGUCAGUUGUGAAAGUUUGCGGCUCAACCGUAAAAUUGCAGUUGAAACUGGCAGUCGUGAGUACAGUAGAGGUAGGCGGAAUUCGUGGUGUAGCGGUGAAAUGCUUAGAUAUCACGAAGAACUCCGAUUGCGAAGGCAGCUCACUGGACUGCAACUGACACUGAGGCUCGAAAGUGUGGGUAUCAAACAGGAUUAGAUACCCGGGUAGUC